UACGGGGGGAGCAAGCGUUGUUCGGAUUUACUGGGCGUAAAGGGCGCGUAGGCGGCGCAACAAGUCACUUGUGAAAUCUCCGGGCUUAACCCGGAGCGGCCAAGUGAUACUGUCGUGCUAGAGUGCGGAAGGGGCUACUAGAAUUCUCGGUGUAGCGGUGAAAUGCGUAGAUAUCGAGAGGAACACCUGCGGCGAAGGCGGGUAGCUGGGCCGACACUGACGCUGAGGCGCGAAAGCCAGGGGAGCGAACGGG
rnacentral:rRNA from 1 species